rnacentral:rRNA from 1 species
UACGGAGGGGGCUAGCGUUGUUCGGAAUUACUGGGCGUAAAGCGCGCGUAGGCGGCUUUGUAAGUUAGAGGUGAAAGCCCGGAGCUCAACUCCGGAACUGCCUUUAAAACUGCAUAGCUUGAAUCCAGGAGAGGUGAGUGGAAUUCCGAGUGUAGAGGUGAAAUUCGUAGAUAUUCGGAAGAACACCAGUGGCGAAGGCGGCUCACUGGACUGGUACUGACGCUGAGGUGCGAAAGCGUGGGGAGCAAACAGG